GACGAACGCUGGCGGCGUGCUUAACACAUGCAAGUCGAGCGGUAAGGCCCUUUCGGGGGUACACGAGCGGCGAACGGGUGAGUAACACGUGGGUGACCUGCCCUCAGCUCUGGGAUAAGCCUGGGAAACCGGGUCUAAUACCGGAUAUGACUCCAUGACGCAUGUUGUGGGGUGGAAAGCCUUGUGCGGCUGAGGAUGGGCCCGCGGCCUAUCAGCUUGUUGGUGGGGNGAUGGCCUACCAAGGCGACGACGGGUAGCCGGCCUGAGAGGGCGACCGGCCACACUGGGACUGAGACACGGCCCAGACUCCUACGGGAGGCAGCAGUGGGGAAUCUUGCGCAAUGGGCGAAAGCCUGACGCAGCGACGCCGCGUGAGGGAU
rnacentral:rRNA from 1 species